AAACUCUGCGAUCUGGCUGCAACAUUUGUCACUUCACUGAUUGCCAGGGUUGAUUUGGCUGAUCUGGCUGACUAGGCGGGUGUCCCCUUCCUCCCUCACCGCUCCAUGAGUGUCCCUCCCGAAGUUGCGCGCUCCCUCGAAGAGAAUGGCCUUCUCCGAAUAGAUACAAACCGGUUUGGGGUUGAGGGUAUGAGGGUAUACGAGUAGCUGUUCUCCCCUGCUAGAACCUCCAAACAAGUUAAAUAUUAGCACACAAAUAUAGUAUUAAAUAUCAGUUUUCACUGGAACGUGACAAUAAAUUAUU
rnacentral:snRNA from 1 species